AGAAAAAUCUUCUGCAAAGCAAAUUUCAGCUUUUACUUCAACAAGUAUGUAGCAAGCUCUCAGUAUUCAGCAUAACAAAAGUUCAUGCAGUUCAGGGCUUUCAUGAUUGCAGCGGAUCUUUUCUUGGGAUUUUUAAAAUGUCCUAGACACAAUUAAAGGAAUUUCUCAGCAAGGAGAGUGCAAGCUGGGGACUCUCCAGCAGAUGUAAUCACUCAAGGAAAACGUUGUUUGGCUUGGCUGGGUCCUGCCUUCGUUCCAUGCUUUCAUCCCACCGCCCGUCUUUGUCCCUCAGUGCUUUCCAGUGUCUCUCUGUAUGUCUUUGUCCGUCUUUCUGUCUGCCCCACAUUCCCUUGCAGGCUGAAUGGGGCAGCGUUAACCUGGCUACUUCCAAGACAAACAGCACAUCGGAUUGCAGGAGGGGGCCUUUGGUUGUCAGCAGUCUUCGCGGUCACUCACUUCCUAGAAUUAAAGGCUGGGAGCUGAUCUGUAAGCCAGCCAAGCCAGAGACAAUGAGUGGGUUCCCAUUCUGUUCCUUUGAUACUGACUUAAAUAUGUGCACCAAAUGGGCAAACAACAUUUACAUAAACGUAAGUAGGAGUCUGCUUUCUCACACAGAAGUGUUCUGCAGUGCGUCUUCUCACAGGUAGUAAAACUCAUCUGUUUUUUCCUGAAGGACUUCCCCUGCUCUCAGAGAGAACUGAUUUGUCAUGGAAUUGAAUUCCUGACUGUGGUGUGCUUUCUGGUUUUGGUUUUUUGGUAGCUGUGAGAAGACGGGGCUGCUGCAGCUGGAAUCCCAGUGGGCAAGAGGAGACACAGAGGUGUGGCAGCUCCAGGCAUGGCUGUUGGGGUCGUGGAGCCUCUGUGGCCCCUACCCAGGUCUGAGCCUUCCGUGGGGGACUGGGAGCUGGGCAGCCAGGAGUCGUGCGGGAAACCCAGCACCUACCAGCAUUGUAAAUGGUGAUGUAUGGCCUGAAGGGCAGCUGGUUGAGGAGGCUGACACCUGCUCAAGGUAGAAAAGGAAAAAUACGAACAGUGAGGGCCCACUGUCUCCUAAGCAAUACACAUUUCUGGGCAGUCAUUGCGAUGCUGCUUCACUGAGCACUGCUGCUUGGUAGCAUCAGAGAAUAGCUUCAAUUGGAGAGGACUUUGGAGAACAUCUAGUUCCAGCCUGCCUGUUGUGGGCCCUGCAAGAGAGUGUUCAAGUGAUCACAGUAAGUACUGUAACGGAUAUUAGUAGGGACAGAAAUUCUUGGCUGCCUGCAAGUCUUACAGGGAGGUUUCAAACAUGUUUAUUUCAAAUGUCUUUUAAAGAAAUAGCAGUGGAAGAGAUCAACCACAUAGAAAAUAUUUUAGGUGACUGCAGCUCACAAACUCAUGCACAGCGUGGUAGGUUGCUCAGAUAGGGCUUGGUGUUGUUUCUGCAUUGCCAAGAAAGCCAGUGCAGACAUCCUAAUGCACUGGCUUUGGUGCUCCCAGCAGCUCAGUGCCAUCGCCUUCCCUCCUGGACGAGCCACAAGCCAUCGUGGUUCAUAAAUUCUGUUGCAACUCCUGGAUGGAAGAUGCUCUAAAGAGCACAAAGAACUAUUGCAGCUAAGCAUUACGUCCAGUCACAUCUCACACUGUGUGAUGUCUUCUCGAGAUCGAGUUGUUGUGUCUAUGUGCAGGCACUUGGUUGUGUUAAUCCCUGGCCAACUGCAUUGUGGUCUCCUUGGAGAGCUGUCCCAGUCUACCUCCUCCUCCCCACUGCCUACUGUUACAGUCUAUAUAUUUAUCAUCCUUCACUUCAGAAUGUGAUUGUACUCAUUUUUAUUUUAAGUUUUUUUAUACUUUAUCGCAUCAUUCUUAUGCUCCAAAAGGUCUGUGGUGGCUGAUGUAAGGCAAACUGUUGUUAAAAGCAGAUCUUUAGUGUCAGUCUCUAACAGUGUACAGUGACAUAACUGCUUUUGAAGGACUGGAGAAGUGCAGUGUACAGUUUGGUGCUUCCAUGGAAUAUGCAAAAGGCCUUAAUGAUUAUUGUAUUUUACAUUAAAUGUGCAUCUUAAAUAGGCAAAGCUAUGAAUAAAUGAAUGUGUGAAAGACUGUUGAACUUCCCCACUUCAGCUAAUUCCUGGACAGCCCAAACCCCCAAAUUUGGCUGUAUAAAUUUUACUGCGAGGCUAAAGACUGAGGGGACUUGAACCCUAGUCCAUGGCAGUUCCUUAAGAGGAAUGAACCCUCAGGAAGUUGGGCUGGAUCAAGCUAUGCAUCUCUUUAAGUUUCUGUUUGGCUCCAUAUAAACCAUUCUGAGUGGUUUACACAUGCCAAAUGUCUCCUACAACACAGAGGGAUGUCCCACUCCCAGCCGCUCGCUUAACUCUUCCAUGUUCCUUGUUGAACACCCUGUUCUUCGCGAUACCACAGCAGGAUGGCAGCUGACAAAUAACAUUGUGGGCUGGAAUUCUUGUAGGUUUUUCUAACAUACCUGUGUCUGUGUAUACCUCAUCCUCUCUCACUGCCCAUUGGGAGUUUUCCUCUUUUCCCAGCUGAAGAGGAAUGGUGUGUUAAACAAACUGUGGGCUGACACUUGGAAACCCAGCAGCGUUGCUCAAUCAGUUCUUGGUUUCGGUAUUAUUCAUUUGCCCUAGAGCUGCAGGCUUCUAGCCCAGCAUGUUGCCCAUGCAUGCAGGUGACAAGAGCGUGGAUGUGAUGACCAGAACCCGUCUUCUGCUGCAGAGCCUGCUGUAGGACAUCACUGUGUUUUGGACAUGUGCUUGUUUUGUGCCGCAGGUUGCAGCGUGUUACUUGGCUGUACCAGCUUGUCCUAAUUCGUGGGCAGCAGUGCCUGCAGCACCGUGCUCUGCUCUGCCAUUCUGAUGUGUAAGUUCCUGAACUCUUGGAAUGGCAACAAGACAUGCUAAGGCACUGAUGGACUUCUGAAAUGCUCUGUAGUACCCAUGAUGGUUAUGUAGGUGGACUGAAAGCCCAUGGGCCUGAGAAAUCCUUCAAAAUAGUGCCCAGAGCCACAAACUGCUUUGUAGUCCAGCCUGGCUUCCCUGGGUAGCAGCAGCACCUCACAGUGCCCCACUUGACAGUGCCCCCACCAUCAGCAGUGCCUGCAAUGAGCACAGACCUUUGGAAGCUGCAGGACAUUGCAGACUAAGCUGUUUUUCUCAGUUUUGAUUCAGCAGUGUAACUCAGUAUCUCGCUCUAAAAAGACUUUCCAUUGGUAUGCAGGGCUCAUAUAACAGCUCCUUCACUGUUUCCUGCGGGUUAGGAGGGAAAGGAUCUUUCCAUGCAUAAUUUAAUCACAUUCAGCAGUUCAGCAUUUGGAUUUUUUUUUUCCCAUAGAAAAUCUUUAGCAUCUAGUUAGUUAAAUCUUACACUUUUCGAAAUGUCUGUGAGCGUGCUUAUCUUGUGCAUUCAGAUAAACACCUCUCAGCAUCCUGUUUUUCUUAUGUCAUACGAACAGGAAGAGAACGAUUGUUUGAGAUGUGCGUCAGUCAUCAUUGUAACCAGGCAGUCACGCUGCCCUCCCCAUUUACCAUGGAAACCAGCAGAUCUCUUCAAACACGCUGGUGGUAGCUGUCAGGACCACCGAAAUCCAGGCUCAAACAAGCCAAGGGACCUCUGCUGCUGCUCAUGCACCCUGCCCUCCAUGUCUGCAGCUCUCCUUCAGAGUCCCUCCGAUGGCUUCAUGUCCUUCUGAUAUCCAGCACUCAGAGCUGCACUCAGCGCUCGAGCAGGUUUGUUAAAGGUAGCAACACACGUGCACUUGCGGAGAAGACAUUAGGAUCUGUUGCACAUUUAAGCUUUUCUUCACUUUGUUUCAUUUUUCAACUCACGGGGAAGGUUUGUGUUGUAAUGCAUGCUGGAUGGAGAGUUGAAGAGGAAUCAUUGUACUGAUAUUGGAAAGCUGUGAGACUCAGAUUCAAUAAAAGCAAUAACUGGCAAAAUAUGAUGUGUUCUUAAAUUCCUAAGCCUCAAGAUGUUUAGGUUUAAAGCUCUAGCUGAAAUACGUCGAUACCAUUUGGUUGGGACAGAUUAAAACACACUGACUUUUUCAGUUAAGAGCUGAGUCUUUGUGUUGGGGCACCAAAAGUGCCUCAGGUGUUUCUACCCAUGCAUUAACCACACAACCUGAGUACAUUGCUAACAUCAGCUCUCAACAUGCCAAACUGUCUAUUUCUAUUUUUAAAAACAAUUAAAUCUCCUUGGGAUGCUUUUAGAGCAAAGCUUCCUUAAAACUAAUUACUUUUUUUUUGGUGAUCUGAAUGGUUUCAGCUAGUAACAGGCAUCAACAAAGUGCCUUUCUGUUUCAAUAUGCUUCUGAAACGCCAGUGUAAAAGCUGAUGUGUUCUUCAGGCUCAGGCUGGGUCUCUCAGGUGUAACUGGUAGAUUGUUUGGAGUGAUCACAUUGUCCAGCCAGAGAUGAAAACAGAUUUUGUGAUGGAUCUUAAAUACUGACUAUGGAUCAUUGAUUUUCACUUCAGACUGAACCAGCAGUUCAUCAGCGAGUCAUCGAGCUGUGCUGGUUUUCCCAGGAAAAGCCUCCAUACAAAGGACUGGGAAGGCGCAGUCUGUGGGGUAGUGACUCAUCAUCCCGUGGCCAUGGGAUGUGUCUCUUCCAGGCUCAUUUGCCUUUACCUAAACCUCUUGAAGCUUAAGAGCAUCAUUAUGGCAGCAUCCUCAUGUUUAAUCUCAGAGAUGACCUGAUAUGCUGUAGGUGAGCCUUUUGGUUGGAAAACGGGGUUCGUUGGCUUGCUUUUGUCUUGGCUGCACGAGUCAUGGAAUCACAGAACCAUAGAAUGGGUUGGGUUGGAAGGAAGCUCUAAAAUCAUCUAUUUCCACCCCCUACUGUAGGCAGAGAAACCUCCCACCAGACCUGGUUGGCCUUCUGGGCUGCACGCACACGUAGCUGGUCGUGUUGAGUCCUUCGUCAGCUGAGUCGGUGUGUAACUCACCAGUCCCUUCUCUAAGGGCAGGCUGAGCUGAGCAGCAGCCACGAGUGUUUCUUAGCUCUCCUGGACCAUAAAAAGGGUAUCUGCCAGUAAUUAAAACAAUUUACAGCUUCCUUAGUGUUAGCCUUCACAACUGAAAAUGGCAGCCCGUUCCCCCCCUGCGGCAGAAUGGAGGUUACUGCUCUAAAAAGAAAACCAGAGGGCUUCAAAACUUGCACUGGUGUUUCUU